rnacentral:lncRNA from 1 species
UGCUGUCCCCAGCCCAAGUGACCCUGCACUCACCCGAGCUUCUAAAUCUCCUCCAUUUCUCUUCCCUGCCGCUCUGUCCCACAGAAGAGGAGUCGACCGAGCAGACAUCGCAGGCGUCUUCGCCCAGCCAGUCGUCCGUCAGGGAGAAGAACAGCACCCCGAGGAAGAGGAAGGCCCCUCUGCCUCCCCUGGGCACCUCCAGCCAGGAGGACCGGGAUGCCUACGAGGAGAUCGUGCGGCUGCGGCAGGAGAGGGCCCAGUUCCUGCAGAAGAUCCGGGGCUUGGAGCAGCAGGAGAAGCAGAGACGGGAGCGGGCGGAGCUGGAUGAGAGCUCCCUGCGCUCCAUGGAGAAGCAGAUCCGGGAGCUGGAGGAGCAGCUGGUGGCACGGGAUGGGGAGAAGAACAAGCUGGGCAAGGAGGUGGAGGCUCUGCGGAGCCGCCUAUCCUCGAUGGAGAAUGAGAAGGAGAACACGAGCUAUGACAUCGAGACGCUGCAAGACGAGGAGGGGGUCCCACUCGAGUUCCCAGGUAGAUCUUGCCAGCCUCCCAAGGACACCUUGGGGAGGUGGCACUGGGCAGUGGGGGCACAGUGGGCACAGCCCCAGGUCUCUGUGCCCUGCAGGAGCGGAGAUGUUGCUCUCCAAGAAGACACUGAGCCCCUCGGCCGAGGAGCUGCUGGCCACACUCCAGGGGCAGGUGCAGUCCCUGACCGUGCAGAACAAGGAGCUGAGGGAGAAAAUCCAGGCACGUCCCCCUCUGUCCCUCCGUCUGUCCCUCUGUUCCUUGUCCCCUGGCCCACAGCGGCCUCACGGUCUGUCGGCAGGUGCUGGAGAACUACGAGCGGGACGAGAGCAGCCCCGCUGCCCCGGGGGACGUGGUGCCCGCCAGUCUGUACCAGGCCCUGCAGCGGGAGCUGGAGCGGCUGCGGGCGCAGGGCAGGG